UCAGAUUUGCAUCCAUAAGCAAACCUUAACGAAAUUAGGGGUAUUUUGGCACAAAUUUUGGUAAGAUCUAGUGGAGAUUAAGGCUCGGGAGGUGCGUAACGCUUCGUAGACCUCGGAUUUUCCAUCGUGGGGUCGUAGGAGGAGGCGGAACCCUUCCAUGCAAUCUGGUCCUUGAAGUUUCCAAGACAAAUUAAGGUUUCGGGACGAAGGGCCGAGCAGUGGAAUAAGGGAGCAAGUCGGGAUUAGCAAGGCAGCAGAGACAGGGCUAGGUACGUUAUGAUGAUGAUGAUGAGGAUAUGAAGUUUCCCUGGACGCGGGAUGCCCCAGAUGCAGGAGGAUAUGAUGAUGAUGGUGAUAGUCCCGAAAGGGCCGGGUACGAUAUCUCAUCGAGUCCCACUAGGGCUGGGCCAGGACAGGUUUACUGAAGACGCGCCGUGAUAGGAGCAUCGUCAAUGGGUCAGCAAGUGCCAUUCAUCCAGACUUGCCUGUUUUGGUGUAUGAUUAUGAUUGCAUGGUUACUGUAUAUGUUUUGGAUACGUCGGUGAACGUGUUGCCCCGACCUUUUAUGAGGAUGAUGUUUCUUAAUGUUAGAGUCUCGUAGACCCUGUGUAGUGUGUUGGUGUUGGUCGUGAGAAUUAUGUUUUGUUAAAUGGGCCUACUGACUUAUGAUAUUGUUUAGUGGCUACCUCCUCGGCACGCGUACUGUGAUUAUGUGUAUAUGUAGGUGAUGUUAUCUACU